rnacentral:lncRNA from 1 species
CUUGGAGCAGAGCACAAGCAAAUCUUUCAGAAACCUAUUAGACUGAGUGAAACCCAUAAUUAUUGUUCACUGGAAAAUGUGUUUUGCUUUCCCAGUACCUAACGAGCUGACACCGUAGAGAGAGAACCAGCCCCAGAGCAGCGCUCCUGGAGUAUUGUAGGGGUUUAGUGCUCCAAGGCACAACAACAGGUGGCACCGGAGAUAUUCCUGCCAACAGCCCUCUGACUGAGCAGAUCAUUUUGCUAGAUAUUCUUCACCCAGACUUGGAAUUCCUCAGAUCAGCCAGCUCCUCAGCUGGAGCAAGAGGGCUCUAGGAGAAAGAUGGAGAGGGGGAUAGAGAGAGUUAAGGAGAGUGUGGAUGCAGAGAUGAAGGAAGCCACUGUGGAGGUUCUCUAUGAACUGCUGGAGAAGAUCCAGAAGGAAAGAGAGAAGGUGGAAAUAAAGGAGAAGCUGUUGGAGAAGGGAGUGGAGUAACGCAAAAGAGGCACUGAAGUCGAGGAGGGAAGAGGUAGAGAGGAAGGAAACGGAGGUGGCCAGGCAGAGAGAUGUGGUGGAGAAGGAGAAACAGAGGGUGACGAAGGAGAAGAAAAAAGUGGAGAAGCAGAGGGAGGAGGUAGAGAUGAAAGACAAGGGGCUGGAUGGACAGAAAGAGAAACUGGAGAAGAAGAGCGAUAAGCUGGAAAUAUUGGAGAAAGUUGGAAAGUUGGAGUUGGACAAGGAGAAAGAGAUGUUGGAGAAGAAGAAGAUGAUAGUGGAAAGGUUGAAACUGGAUGUGGAUGAGAGACUGAAGAAAAUUACAAGAACAGGAGAGAUUAUUAAAAAGAAAGAGAAGAUGGACAGAAUGAAAAUAGAAGUGGAAGAGAAGGCAAAGAUGGAGGUGAAGAAAGUGAAAGAAGAGUUGGAGGGAUUGGAGAAGAAGAUUAAAGAGGGACAGGAGAGGGAGAAAGGGAGAGAGAGAGAGGGAGGAGUUUGAGAAGAGGAAGGAAGAGGAGGUGGAGCGUGUGAUGUUGGAAAUGGAGGAGAAGCUGAAGAUGGAGGUAGAGAGGUUGAAGCUUAUGAAGGUAAGGACGGAGGAAAAGUGGAAGACGAAGAUGGAGAGAGUGAUAGAGUUGAUUGUGGAAGAGAAGAUAAACGAGAGAAAUUAGUUUGACUGUAAGAGACAGGAUGUGGACGAAGUCCGAGAGGAGUUGGAAGGAGUGAUGGAGAAGAUGAAAGAAAAGGGGGAGAUGUUUAAGAAGGAGGUGGAGAAGAUGAAGCUGGAGAAGGAGAAGGCGGUGAAAGAAGUGAGGAGGGAAAUGGAGGAGAAGUGAGAAAAGGAAGUUAAGCAAAUAAAGGUGGAGGUGGAAGAAAAAUGAAAGAAAGAGAUGAAAAGCGUGAGAGAGUGGAUUGAGAGAGCAGAGGAGACCUUAUGUAAUUGUCCUACAGCAUACGAUACAGGUGCCUCUAUUGCCACAGCUACUAAUCAGUAGAAUUCACUUGAAUGUAUGUAGCCAGAGCCACUAUUAAGUUGCAAUUGAAUGGACUCCAGCAAAGUGGUUGUCCUAGGUGUAAUACGACCUCAGAUUUAUGGGUUAUUAUAAAGUAAGAAAGUUGUACUGAACUCAUAAGGAAUUUUUUAUUAUCUUCUAAAAAUCUGUGGGAUUACAUAAUUAAUUGAAAUGAAAAUGUAACAGCAGGAACUCUUACAGACUGGGCCAAGAGCAUGAUUUAUGUUUUUACCUCUACUACUACUACUGUACUAAUGCUACUACUACUACUGUACUACUACUGCUGCUACUACUACUACUGUACUACAACUACUGCUACUACUACUACUGUACUACUACUACUGCUGUACUACUACUGCUACUACCACUACUGCUGCUACUGCUACUGUACUACUACUACUACCACUACUACUAUUAC